UACGAAGGGUGCAAGCGUUACUCGGAAUUACUGGGCGUAAAGCGUGCGUAGGUGGUUCGUUAAGUCUGAUGUGAAAGCCCUGGGCUCAACCUGAGAAUGGCAUUGGAUACUGGCGGGCUAGAGUGCGGUAGAGGGCAGUGGAAUUCCCGGUGUAGCAGUGAAAUGCGUAGAGAUCGGGAGGAACAUCUGUGGCGAAGGCGACUGCCUGGACCAGCACUGACACUGAGGCACGAAAGCGUGGGGAGCAAACAGG
rnacentral:rRNA from 1 species